rnacentral:tRNA from 1 species
UAGAGUAUGGUGUAAUUGAGAGCACGGAGGUUUUUGAAGCCUUAGAUGUAGGUUUAAGUCCUAUUAUUCUAG